rnacentral:rRNA from 1 species
GACGAACGCUGGCGGCGUGCUUAACACAUGCAAGUCGAACGGUAAGGCCCUUCGGGGUACACGAGUGGCGAACGGGUGAGUAACACGUGGGUGAUCUGCCCUGCACUUCGGGAUAAGCCUGGGAAACUGGGUCUAAUACCGGAUAGGACUCCUGGCUUCAUGGUUGGGGGUGGAAAGCGUUUGCGGUGUGGGAUGGGCCCGCGGCCUAUCAGCUUGUUGGUGGGGUAAUGGCCUACCAAGGCGACGACGGGUAGCCGGCCUGAGAGGGUGACCGGUCACACUGGGACUGAGAUACGGCCCAGACUCCUACGGGAGGCAGCAGUGGGGAAUAUUGCACAAUGGGCGCAAGCCUGAUGCAGCGACACCGCGUGAGGGAUGACGGCCUUCGGGUUGUAAACCUUUUUCAGCUAUGACGAAGCGCAAGUGACGGUAGUAGCAGAAGAAGGACCGGCCAACUACGUGCCAGCAGCCGCCGUAA